GACGAACGCUGGCGGCGUGCUUAACACAUGCCAGUCGAACGGAAAGGCCUCAGCUUUCUGGGGUUCUCGAUUGGCGAACGGGUGUGUAACACGUGUGUGAUCUGCCUUUCACUCUGGGAUAAGCUUUGGAAGCUGGGUCUAUUACCGGAUAUGAACUGCCUUUAGUGUGGUUGUUGGAAUGUUUUUUCGUUGAAAGAUGAGCUCGCGGGCUAUCCGCUUCUUGGUGCGAUAAUGGGCUACCAAGGCGUCGACGGGUAGCCGGACAGAGACAGUGUACGGCCACACUGAGACUGAGAGACGGCCCAGGCACCGACGGGAGGCAGAAGUGGGGAAUAUUGCACAAUGGGCGGAAGCCUGAUGCAGCGACGCCGCGUGGGGGAAGACGGCGUUAGGAUUGAAAAAUAAAUGCGAAAGGGACGAAGCUUUUUGUGACGGUACCUGUAUAAAAAGCAACGGCUAACUACGUG
rnacentral:rRNA from 1 species